UAAUGAGUCUGCCUAGUAUUUAUCUAAUGAGGGUAAUUACCCACAACUGAAAUUAUUUGCUCCAUUUGGGUAAAGAUACCUCUCCUGGAGGUGAUGUGCUGCUUUGUUCUGUGCCCAGACCAGCACAGCUUGGAGCCUGCAGGAUGGUUGGGUGUUUCCAAGUACUGGUCUGGAAUUCUCUAUGAAAAUAUUGAUUAAAGCAACUGAUUUUUGGAACAAAACCUGCUGAAUGGAAUCAAUAGUCUGAGAACGUACCAGUCCGUCUUGCUGGGAUCCUCCAUGGAUGAUGUCUUUCAAAGGCUCUUCCAUCCUUCCUGGUGAUGAAACCCAAUCUGCAGUGUCCUGCAGCUCUACCAAAGCCACCAGCAUUACUUGUUACCAUGUUUGGCUCAUUUUGGGUGGGGAACUGUUCUGCAACCUGCAGUUCUUGUCUGCAUGUAUGCACUGAUGGACGCAGCUUUCUUUUGGAUGGCUUACCAAAACUUUUUGAGAUGAUGAUGAUGCUUUUUGGAAUCCCAUAACAAUUUUAGGCUAAGGCUUUCCACGUUCUCAGAGUCUACGGACAAAUGAACACAAACCACUGGGAGAUGUCCUGCCAGACAGAGAUGAAUAGGAUGGCCAGCGGGCGCGCGCUGCUGGGCACAGGCCCAGGCUCCGUGCUCAGGACUACUGCUGACAAACCAGAAAUGCAGUCUGACAGAGUGAGGAGCUUCUGAAAGAGGCUUGGAGCUCCUCUGUGCCAGAGGUAUAAAAACCUGCCUGACACUGACAUCCCUCCUCUGCAGAAGAACAGUUGUAUGGAAGGGACACGUGUACCUUUCCUGGGGAUGUGUAGGAAACUGGAGAGGAAUGGAAAAAAUGAGACAUGCAGUGAAGACUGGUGCUAGAAAGCAGAAGCUCUCAGCUUCAGGAGUCUAAUAAGAAGAAAAGCUCUGGUGUGUUGUUUGGUCACAGAGUGAUUAUGAACCUCUGAGGUAGCAUGGCUGUGUAAAAACACCAAAUGUAUUGUAAGAUUUCUUCAAUUUAUACAGGAGCAUUAAUGUCUUUGUGGGAAUCAUCAGUAAGAGUAGUGAAUACAGCAUUGGUCCCUCAGAGUCAAAAUGGAUGGAUUCAAGCUGGAGAAAAUGCAGCCCAAGAUUUAGAGUCUGGUAAUUAUGUGGGAGAAAGUAUUAUAUAGGAAGAAAGGAAAAGCAAACAGCCCCUCGCUUCUGCGGCCUAGAAAAAGGAAGUUUUUGAAGGGUAGGGUUUCCUUAUAUAGCUGUAUCAGAGAGAUAAACACUGUAAGGGAGGAACAUUUUAACCUAGAAGAGGGAAUGGUGGUGAGAGCAGCGUGGAUCUUGGAAGCCCUUGCUUGGGGUUAAAGAUUAGUGGCUUUCAGGGUGAUGUUGGAGCAAUGUGGUCUCUGCAGAUUCUUUUCAGUCUCGUGUUUCUGUGAUUAAAGCUCCUCUUUUUCUCUUACACCUGGGCAGGUAAUAAGUGCCUUCAGUUAUUAAGCAGGUGACUUUGUCUCUGCUUGCAGUGUACGUAAUUCAAUUCAGAUAUCCAUUCAGUAGUCACAGCAGUAUUCAUGAGUUCUGAUUGUUUUGUGGAUUUCAGUACCAUAAUCAGUCAAAUGAGAUGUGUCACACCUUGGUGGCAAGACAGUAAAACAUUGGUUCUUUGCUCCAUAUAAAGUGACAGCGAUUUUAAUUGCAUGCUUGGAAGGUCUGGGGUUGUUUCUGAAUGAAUGAAUGAAUCUAUUAGUGCCGUUGUCUUUGCCUGUAAAUGCUCUUGCAUAACGAUGAGGCAAAGCCAUUACACUCACUUGUACGGAGAACUCCCACUCCCGUGUUGUUCAAAUUGUUUUUAGCCAGUGGUCAACGCUGCGUUUAAAUCGUGACCUCGGAGUGGUAAAUGGGAGGUGGGUGUGAAGCACCACUGACCCUUCUCUAAUGGAAGCACUUCCCAGAUGAUGAGCAGCAGCGUGCCCUCGCCUUGCUCACAGGCUGUGGGGAGUGGAUUUUGCGUGAGCUUCACGUGAAGCCCCAUCUAUGCUGGCAGAUUUAUUUUGCUAGCAGGAUUGGUCAGCUUAAAGGAUCAAAGCCACUUUUUCUCCUCAAGAGUGAGCUUUAUCCUUUAUUUGGUUGUAUCCAGUGUGAUAUCUUUGCAAGAGACAAUCCCUAAUGCCUGAAGUACAGGUGGAUAAAGCCACAGGGAAAAGUUUUGCAUCAAAAGCAGCACUGCAUGCUUUGCUACUGACAGAAUAUCCUGAUGCCUGCUGGCUGCGCUGUUCUGAAUCUUGUUUUAGUGCCCAAAGCCUCUGCAGGUACAAAACCCUGUGAUGUGUGGAAAUCCGAAGCAUCGCUAUAAGAUUUUCCUGGGCGUGCUGGAGAGCUUUCCCAAAACAGAAUAAACAAGAGCUUAUCUCUGCUGCUAAAUAGAAGGUACACUUUUCAUCUUACGAAUGAAUGUUUAAUGUACAGUAAUAAGAACGAGUGAAGCCAACGCAGAAAUCUCCCUGAAGGCCAGAUGCACUAAUUGCUGUGCCUGAACAAUGGCAAGUUUAUCUGUGGUAAAACUGGAGUGGUUUGUUUUUGCUGGAGUCUGUCUGUGGAAUAUUUUUAUGCAAAAUGAUGCAUUGUUGACAUUGAUGACAAGCCCCUGCAGUAGCCACAGUUGAUGUCGACCAAAGACUGCUUUGGGCACUUGCAUUUGUAUCACUUCUGUAAACAGGCUUUUGCUGGGAUAACUGGGAAAUGAUGUAAUUGUAAAUUAAUAACAUGUUCAUGACAUUAUGCCUCGCUGGCACAAUUACCUAGCCAGAAAUUGUGUCCCAGUAAGAGUGACAGAUCUGCAAACUGGGUUUACCUCAAUUCAUGGGUGAGUUUACUCCAGUUCACGUGCUGACCAUUAGUAAGAGUCAUGGGUCGAAGAAAUGGGCAAAAUAACUUCAGUGGAGGUCGGUCCUCCCCACUGCUUGUCAAGGCUGACUUUGUGCUCCUGAGCCUGAAAGUUUCUUCCAUUGCACCAGACUCCAUGAAAUACAUAAAGACAUCCCUGUAUGUUUGCACAGAAUUCUGCAUGUGGCUACAGCAUGAGCAGCAGGGAGGAGAAUGGUAAAAAGAAGCAAUGGAAGGAUUUCUGAUUCCUCAUGUGUAGGACCCUACAGCUCAGAACUGUUUGAGAGGGAGAGUAAUUCAAUUUAAUUAUAUUGUUUCGAGUUGGGUCUGGAGGACAAAGAAAAGUUUGGGAUUAGCCCUGGGCCUCUCUGAGUACUUUUCUUCAGGGGGUCUGAAAAUGUUAGAUACUAAAUUCUGGUCUCACUGCUGCAGAGCUGUGGUUUUUCUACUCUCAUUUCUUCCUUGGUGCUUGUAGAUCCUGAGCAAUAGGCGCUGGAAGUUGCUUCGAUCAUGUCUAGCUGCACGAAACCAAUAAAAAUAAAUGACUGAAAUACAGCAUAAAAGAAUAAAAGCUUCCUCUCCUCCUCCCUUGUUUUCUCCCUGCAUGACACAGGCUAAGGACACAUCCCCAGAAUUAUUAUACAGGAGGUUAUAAUCUCUGAAGGACAUCCUGAGCACUGCUUAUUUCCUCCGACACGGAGAAGCGAUAUCUCCAUGGCACAAAAUCGGUCCAGACUCAGAUUUCAAAUGUGCGAUGAUGUCUUGGUGUUAACAGGACAAAUUAAUUCUUGCUAAAGAAAGUGGCACACUAUUUGUCAAGGGCAUCAAUAAAUUUUUACCUAUGUUUCCCUUUUGUGAGCGGAAAGCAGAAAAGAGAACUAACAAAUGGUUCCUCUCUCUCAAUGCCUCAAACAUUGCUAUAAUGAUGAAAAAACAAUGGCAACUUCUAUAACCAUCACGGAACUAAGAAUUUACUGUCACGUUUCUCAUGGGAUCUAAUUUAAAACAGUGUUCUAAGAGAAACUCAGGUCAAGAGUAAAGAAGAAAAAGUUGAUGGAGAUUUGGUUUGACAGCCGGAAUAUCACAGAGCAUACCAGGUUAAACUCUGAAGGGCUUUAUGGAGAAGGACUUUUACAGGGAACAUGCUCAAAUCUCAAAUAUCUGAAAAUAAACAGCAAAUCUUUUGUUUCUUUCCAUAUAACCUCCUUCAUGUAUACAUUCUGCGAUUGCAAGCACAG